UUUCCUGAUUCUAUAGGACAGCGUUGUGCUAAAAAGCUAGAUUCAACAAUACAGAUGGAAUAAAGUCACUUUAGGGCAGAGUGGAGUAAGACAGAAGGUAGCUGGAUUCCUGGGCAAGCACAGGACAACACCUCUCACCAGAUCUUGAAGAAAACCAUUCUUCUGGAGCAAUACACAAUAUUGUAGACUGCAUACAAUAUAAGGGAGGAAAAGAGGCUUAUCCUUCCCUUUUGUUCUGGUUGCUUUUGCUAUCUUCCACCACUAUGAACUGCUGCCCCUCUGCUGCUUCACCCUCCCGAUUAUGGACUGAAACCUCCACAAACUGUAAGCUAAAUAAACCUCUCCUUCUCCAACUUUGAGUGUCAGGUAUUUUGACUCAAC
rnacentral:lncRNA from 1 species